UGGGGAAUAUUGGACAAUGGGCGCAAGCCUGAUCCAGCCAUGCCGCGUGAGUGACGAAGGCCUUAGGGUUGUAAAGCUCUUUUGGCGGGGAAGAUAAUGACGGUACCCGCAGAAUAAGCUCCGGCUAACUUCGUGCCAGCAGCCGCGGUAAUACGAAGGGAGCUAGCGUUGUUCGGAAUCACUGGGCGUAAAGCGCACGUAGGUGGGCAGUUAAGUCAGGGGUGAAAGCCCGAGGCUCAACCUCGGAAUUGCCUCUGAUACUGGCUGUCUAGAGUUCGAGAGAGGUGAGUGGAAUUCCUAGUGUAGAGGUGAAAUUCGUAGAUAUUAGGAAGACCACCGGUGGCGAAGGCGGCCCACUGGAUCGGUACUGACGCUGAGGUGCGAAAGCGUGGGGAGCAAACAGGAUUAGAUACCCCUGUAGUCCCUGAGCGGGCUGGCAAGGCGCAU
rnacentral:rRNA from 1 species